AGAGUUUGAUCAUGGCUCAGAUUGAACGCUGGCGGCAUGCUUUACACAUGCAAGUCGAACGGUAACAGGUCUUCGGAUGCUGACGAGUGGCGAACGGGUGAGUAAUGCAUCGGAACGUGCCCAGUCGUGGGGGAUAACGCAGCGAAAGCUGUGCUAAUACCGCAUACGAUCUAUGGAUGAAAGCGGGGGAUCGCAAGACCUCGCGCGAUUGGAGCGGCCGAUGUCAGAUUAGCUAGUUGGUGGGGUAAAGGCCCACCAAGGCGACGAUCUGUAGCUGGUCUGAGAGGACGACCAGCCACACUGGGACUGAGACACGGCCCAGACUCCUACGGGAGGCAGCAGUGGGGAAUUUUGGACAAUGGGCGCAAGCCUGAUCCAGCAAUGCCGCGUGCAGGAAGAAGGCCUUCGGGUUGUAAACUGCUUUUGUACGGAACGAAAAGGUCUGGGUUAAUACCCUGGGCUCAUGACGGUACCGUAAGAAUAAGCACCGGCUAACUACGUGCCAGCAGCCGCGGUAAUACGUAGGGUGCAAGCGUUAAUCGGAAUUACUGGGCGUAAAGCGUGCGCAGGCGGUUUUGUAAGACAGGCGUGAAAUCCCCGGGCUCAACCUGGGAAUGGCGCUUGUGACUGCAAAGCUGGAGUGCGGCAGAGGGGGAUGGAAUUCCGCGUGUAGCAGUGAAAUGCGUAGAUAUGCGGAGGA
rnacentral:rRNA from 1 species